CCUACGGGUGGCAGCAGUAGGGAAUAUUGCUCAAUGGACGAGACUCUGAAGCAGCCACGCCGCGUGAAGGAUGAAGGUUUUCUGAUUUUAAACUUCUUUUUUUAGAGAAGUAAAUGACGGUAUCUAUCGAAUAAUGUCUGUCUAACUCCGUGCCAGCUGCCGCGGUAAUAUGGAGGAUGCAAGCGUUAUACGGAUUAACUGGGCGUAAAGGGAGUGUAGGCGGGAUAGAAAGUCAGAUGUGAAAUUCUAUGGCUUAACCUUAGAACUGCAUUUGAAACUGGCAGUCUUGAGUAGUGGAGAGGUAGGUGGAAUUCGUGGUGUAGGGGUAAAAUCCGUAGAGAUCAAGAAGAAUACUCAUUGCGAAGGCGAUCUGCUAGAACGUAACUGACGCUGAUGCGCGAAAGCGUGGGUAGCAAACAGGAUUAGAUACCCCAGUAGUC
rnacentral:rRNA from 1 species